UACACAGCUUCCCCAUUAAACGCUAAACUUAACUAAUAACAGAUCGUUACUUAGGCACCUUUCCCUAAAUAUGUGGUACAGUAAGGACACAAAAGUUAAAAGAAGGCGAAAACUUCCCAAUUAAGGGUAGUGUGGUCUAGUUUAUAACACUGCCAUUCUAUAAUGUCUAUUUCAAUCUAAAAAGCCAUAUCAGUCAGUAUUUUACAUCGGUUUUUCUUUUCCAUAUUUAUCGGUGGUAACUCAUAAGCUAUUUGUUGAAGUCAAUGGCUUUUUAGAUAUGGAAGGCAGCACAGCGCAUAUCAAUCGAUUAUGCUGAUUAAGCAACGUUGACCCAAGUCGUUGGCUGGAUGGGUAAUAGACUUUGGAGGUCCGAAGGCUUUUGCUUCUCCUUUUGGCCGAAGCCACGUUAAGCAAAGGAUCCUAUAAUCUCUGAUAUCUGUUUAAAUAAUAAUCGUUACAAAAGUUAAAAUCGUCUUCUUGGGUCCAGCUGCAUGACAGGCGAUUAAGGUUAAGUUACGGUUACAGUUAAACUUUGACUGACAAUUUAAAAAAUGGGAUUAAAGUGUCAUGACUAACCUAUUAGAGACCUGGCUGAAACUAUCCAUUUGCUUCGGCCCUCACACUGGUACUUCAAAAGCUACAUUUUAAAUCGACUUCUUUCAACUUUCGUAGAUCACACUGCGAUAACCGAUAACCUACGUUUAGACAAGAACGAUCAAAACGACGAUCGAAUAAAGUGGCGUUUUGAAAGACGGACACCUUCAAGGGUAAACUAUCGUAACGCCAACUAAACUUUUUCACCCAAUACAAUAAUUGAACUAAGAGUGAAGAAUAGUCCAAGAAAAGAAGAAAACAUUGGUUUGAAAAUCUUUUCCUAAUCAGCCCGGACGGGGUCUUAAAAGUUUAUUGAGGUACAUCGAUCGUAGAAUCGGUCAAACAUGUCUAGAUUUAAGGUGACAUUCGCAGUCCCAAACCAAAUACUUGAAAUCGUGCGCUACCAAAUGCCACCUUAAUAUGUAUAUUAAUAUAAUUACAUAUUUAUUAUGGAACUAUUUACACGCAUUCAUCAAAGUGUUGCAACAACGUACCUACUGUUCGAUCAAAACAUACAAAAAAGCAAAAGUAUUGACGAAAGAUAAAAUAAACUAAGUAUAGUACGCUAUAGAUCGACAUUGCAAUCGGGAUAUGAGGCGGGGGGACGCCCCGCACACCCACACGUCCCCCGCGUUAUCCCGCAUCGGGUUAGCGCGGGGGUGCGGGGCGUCCCCACACCGAUUGCCAUGUCAACCUGUCGCGAACUUUAAAUAUAAACCACGUUCAGCCGACAAGUUCAGUUUGGAAGAUAAAGACUUAAAAAAACAGUAAGUAUUCCUUCCUUAUCAUUGCAAAACUAUUUUUUGUUUCAAUAAAAGCCACACAACCAAAUAAUGAUAAAUACCUACGUGAAGUCUGAUUUGCGAAGCUUUUAUUGAAACUGACAUCUGCACACAAUUCAAAUU